rnacentral:tRNA from 1 species
GCAGCGAUGGUCUAGUGGUCUUAAGACGCCUUUGUAAUCAAUUGUCUUGCAAACACAAGCAUUUGACGGAUGCGGCCUUGCGACCUUCUGAGGUGCCUGACCCUCCUCGAAGCAAGGAGAUCGUGGGUUCGAAUCCUACUCGCUGCA